rnacentral:rRNA from 1 species
GCGUAUAUUAAAGUUGUUGCAGUUAAAAAGCUCGUAGUUGGAUUUCGGAAGGUCCUUAGCAGUCCGCCCCUUCGGGGAGCGGGCUGCUGGCCUCCUAUGUUCCUAACGGUCCUCAUCCGCGAGGGUGGGGAAUCAACCGCUAGGAUCGUUUACUUUGAGGAAAUUAGAGUGUUCAAAGCAGGCGUAACUCGCCUCCGAAUACGUUAGCAUGGGAUAAUGGAAUACGACUUCGGUCUUGUUUCGUUGGUUUCGCUUGGCUGAAGUAAUGAUUGAUAGGGACAGUUGGGGGCAUUAGUAUUUAGUUGUCAGAGGUGAAAUUCUAGGAUUUACUAAAGACUGACCAAUGCGAAAGCAUUUGCCAAGGAUGUUUUCAUUAAUCAAGAACGAAAGUAGGGGGAUCGAAGACGAUCAGAUACCGUCGUAGUCUCUACCGUAAACUAUGCCGACCAGGGAUCCGGAGAGUUUGCAUGGAUGACUCCCCGGGCACCUUGUGAGAAAUCAUAAGUGUUUGGGUUUUGGGGGGAGUAUGGUCGCAAGGCUGAAACUUAAAGGAAUUGACGGAAGGGCACCACCAGGAGUGGAACCUGCGGCUUAAUUUGACUCAACACGGGGAAACUUACGAGGUCAGGACACUGUGAGGAUUGACAGAUUGA